AUUGAACGCUGGCGGCAGGCUUAACACAUGCAAGUCGAGCGGAGCGGCGGACGGGUGAGUAAUGCUUAGGCAUCUGCCUAUUAGUGGGGGACAACAUCUCGAAAGGGAUGCUAAUACCGCAUGCUAAUAGAUGAGCCUAAGUCGGAUUAGCUAGUUGGUGGGGGAAAGGCCUACCAAGGCGACGAUCUGUAGCGGGUCUGAGAGGAUGAUCCGCCACAAUGGGACUGAGACAAGGCUCAGACUCCUACGGGAGGCAGCAGUGGGGGAUACUGGGAAAUGGGGGGAAACCUGAACCAGCCAUGCCGGGUGUGUGAAGAAGGCCUUAUGGUUGUAAAGCACUUUAAGCGAGGAGGCGUUACUCGCAGAAUAAGCACCGGCUAACUCUGUGCCAGCAGCCGCGGUAAUUC
rnacentral:rRNA from 1 species